CACGUAGGGUGCGAGCGUUGUCCGGAAUUAUUGGGCGUAAAGAGCUCGUAGGCGGUGUGUCGCGUCGGCCGUGAAAACCUACAGCUUAACUGUGGGCUUGCGGUCGAUACGGGCAUCACUGGAGUUCGGCAGGGGAGACUGGAAUUCCUGGUGUAGCGGUGAAAUGCGCAGAUAUCAGGAGGAACACCGGUGGCGAAGGCGGGUCUCUGGGCAUGUCCUGACGCUGAGGAGCGAAAGUGUGGGGAGCGAACAGG
rnacentral:rRNA from 1 species